CUCUAAGAUUAAGCCAUGCAUGUCUAAGUGCAUGUGUUAUACACGAAACCGCGAACGGCUCAUUACAACAGCUUUAACCUACUUGAUUUAGACAUUUAUCUUACAUGGAUAACUGUGGUAAUUCUGGAGCUAAUACAUGCACUAAAAGCCGGCCAGUAAUGGUUGGUUGCACUUAUUAGAACAAAACCAAGCGGCUUUGCCGUUUUUUGUUGACUCUGAAUAAUUCCGCUGAUCGCAUGGUCUUGUACCGGCGACAUGUCAUUCGAGUAUCUGGCUUAUCAACUGUCGAUGGUAGUUUAUUGCACUGCCAUGGUGUUGACGGGUAACGGAGAAUUAGGGUUCGACUCCGGAGAAAUCGCCUGAGAAACGGCGUUUACAUCCAAGGAAGGCAGCAGGCGCGAAAAUUACCCACUCUUAGUACGAGGAGGUAGUGACGAGAAAUGACAAGGCUUACUCCUUAUGGGGUGAGUCAUUGGAAUGGGUACAAUUUAAACCCUUUAACGAUUAUCUAUGAGAGGGCAAGUCUGGUGCCAGCAGCCGCGGUAAUUCCAGCUCUCAUACUGCAUUGAAGUAUUGUUGCGGUUAAAAAGCUCGUAGUUGGAUCUUUACACUUUGACGUGGUCGGCCUUCGGGUUCGUACUGCGCUCAGGUGUUUUAUGCCGGUUUUCUGCUAUCUGUUUUCGGAUGGGUAGUGGUGGCUGGCGAGUUUACUUUGAAUAAAUCGGAGUGCUCAAAACAAGCGUUUUGCUUGAACGAUUUUGCAUGGAAUAAUAGAACAGGACACUGGUUCUUGUUUAUUGGUUUUACGGAUCGGUGUAAUGAUUAAAAGGAACAAACGGGGGCAUUCGUAUCGUUGCGUGAGAGGUGAAAUUCAUGGACCGUAGCGAGACGAACUACUGCGAAGGCAUUUGCCAAGAAUGUUUUCAUUAAUCAAGAACGAAAGUCAGAGGUUCGAAGGCGAUCAGAUACCGCCCUAGUUCUGACCGUAAACUAUGCCAUCUAGCGAGCAUCGGGCGGAUUAAAUGCCCUUGAUGCGAGCUUCCCGGAAACGAAAGUCUUCCGGUUCCGGGGGAAGUAUGGUUGCAAAGCUGAAACUUAAAGGAAUUGACGGAAGAGCACCACAAGAAAUGGAGCUUGCGGCUUAAUUUGACUCAACACGGGGAAACUCACCCGGCCCGGACACCGUUUGGAUUGACAGAUUGAAAGCUCUUUCAUGAUUUGGUGGUUGGUGGUGCAUGGCCGUUCUUAGUUCGUGGAUUGAUUUGUCUGGUUUAUUCCGAUAACGAGCGAGACUUAAGCCAAAGUUAAAUAGUCGAGUUAUUAUUAUAGUAGCGAGACUUCUUAACGGGAUUUUCGGCGUUUAGCCGUACGAAACUGAGCGAUAACAGGUCUGUGAUGCCCUUAGAUGUCCGGGGCUGCACGCGUGCUACACUGACAAGUGCAGUGCGUGCUAUCCAUUCUCGUUAGAGAUUGGUAAACGUGUCAAAUUUUGUCGUGAUUGGGAUUGGAGAUUGCAAUUAUUCUCCAUGAACGAGGAACUUCUAGUAAGUGCGAGUCAUCAGCUCGCGCUGAUUACGUCCCUGCUCUUUGUACACACCGCCCGUCGCUGCCCGGAACUGAGUUGAUUCGAGAAGAUCGGGGAUUGCUGGUUAAUCGUUCUUCGGGACGAUUUUCUGGUGCUAACCGAUUUGAUCGCAUUGGCUUGAACCGGGCAAAAGUCGUAACAAGGUAGC
rnacentral:rRNA from 1 species